AACAGCGCUUCCUGUUUGGAUGCGUAGAGGUAAACCCACGGCUUCAUCCGCGUGCCUCUUUGUGCUCGGCUUCUGGAGGGGGAUCAGACGAAGUAGCAAACAGGUGUGAGCAGAACCCAACACGCUAGCGUGACCUGCGACCUUGCGACUGCGUGGAGCCCAGCAGCAGUGGGAGAUCCCGGGUGUCAAGGAGACAGAAGUUGAGCAACAAUUGGAGGCGACAGCUCAUUCAUCAUGGCCAAGAUUAGUGACGUUUCCCAGUGGCAGCUCAAGUUGGGCCUCUUGCGACCAAAGAGUGUAUGGAC